rnacentral:rRNA from 1 species
UAGGGAAUCUUCCGCAAUGGACGCAAGUCUGACGGAGCAACGCCGCGUGAGUGAAGAAGGAUUUCGGAUCGUAAAGCUCUGUUGUUAAGGAAGAACGAGUGUGAGAAUGGAAAGUUCAUACUGUGACGGUACUUAACCAGAAAGGGACGGCUAACUACGUGCCAGCAGCCGCGGUAAUACGUAGGUCCCGAGCGUUGUCCGGAUUUAUUGGGCGUAAAGCGAGCGCAGGCGGUUAGAUAAGUCUGAAGUUAAAGGCAGUGGCUCGACCAUUGUAGGCUUUGGAAACUGUUUAACUUGAGUGCAGAAGGGGAGAGUGGAAUUCCAUGUGUAGCGGUGAAAUGCGUAGAUAUAUGGAGGAACACCGGUGGCGAAAGCGGCUCUCUGGUCUGUAACUGACGCUGAGGCUCGAAAGCGUGGGGAGCGAACAGG